CAGUAGCCGCGGUAAUACGAAGGGUGCAAGCGUCACUCGGAAUUACUGGGCGUAAAGCGUGCGUAGGUGGUGGUUUAAGUCCGUUGUGAAAGCCCUGGGCUCAACCUGGGAAUUGCAGUGGACACUGGGUCACUAGAGUGUUGUAGAGGAUAGUGGAAUUUCCGGUGUAGCAGUGAAAUGCGUAGAGAUCGGAAGGAACAUCUGUGGCGAAGGCGACUAUCUGGGCCAACACUGACACUGAGGCACGAAAGCGUGGGGAGCAGACAGGAUUAGAUACCCGUGUAGUCCCUGUCUCUUAUAA
rnacentral:rRNA from 1 species